UGUGCUAGUUAGUCCUUAAAUUACCAUUGUAACAUCCAUGUGAAUGGAUAUAUUGAAUUUUUACAUAAAUGUCAAAGAAUUGAGAAAAAGAAGACAUGAGUGAGGUUAAAAAUUUGUCAUUUGUCAACGUAAUGCUCUGAACGUUUCUUCGUGUAUUUUUGUUUUGUUAUUUUUUUCUAUUAUGUAUUCGAAGUCGGGUCCAGUGAAAUUCCUCCGUUCGUUAGGAGACACGCGGGAAAGAUCAUCAUUAUUAAUAGGUGAUGUACCUCAACCGUAUGUAUAUUGCAGAAAUACAUUAACCAAGGCCAAGAAUAAAAGUCAUCACGGCUACAUAGAUAUUUCUAAAGAUUUAACUAAAUUUUGUACCGGUAGUACUUAUAGUGGCCAAUGGAACGCACUAGGCUUUUCGGGAUUUGGAACGUAUACUUAUCCAUGCGGUACCAUUUAUGAAGGAAAUUUUAAACUGGGAUUGUUUCAUGGUCGCGGUAAAAUUAGUUUUUGUGAUGGAAAAGCAAUUAUAGCACUAUUUCACAAAGGGAACAUUGUACGAGAAAUAGCCGUAGAAGUUUUUGGAAAGAUCGUACACAGAGAGAAUUUUAAAUAUUGUCAGAUGCCCGAUAGAAGAUAUUUCCGUCAACACUUCGAAGAACUGCAGCCCGUUGGAAAAGAAAAUCUCACGAAAGAUGAGACUCCACGAUACUUACCACCAAACAAUUAUGAUAUAGGCAAUGGUGUGUUUAAUGCAGACCAAAAUAUUAUUUUCCAAGAUGCCGAUCCAUGCAGCAACAUUAAAAGAGCAAGACUUCCUGAAUUCGAGGAGGUGGAGAAAAUUAAAAAGGAAUUCAGGAGUGGAAACGACUACAAUGUGGGGUAUAUUCCACAUUUCUACGAAAAAUGGUUUUCGGGCCAAGCUGUAGAAAGGCUUUUCCUGGAGCCGAUGUCAGAGGUCGAAACCCCAAAUCCGCCUUCGCCCGCAAGUAUCAGUAGCAGCAGCGACACGACACCAGAACCACAACCAUCCGCGGACUCUUAUGCAAAUUACUACGUGGAUUCGACGUACAGAGUGUUGGGCGGCAUUGAGUCGUUGCUAAUGAAUCCAGAUAUUUGCGGUUCUCCGGACAGUCUUAGUUUAACUUCUGUGUCGGAGACGGACUCUGCCAGUUCUGGAUUCAAAGAUAAACGAAUAACUCAUACACUACCGCCUUCAUAUGACGUAGAUAUAGACGAUAUAACAUAUGUGGAAGACUAUAAAGAGAUAAAUGAAGUCGCAGCUAAAAAUAUCAAAUCUAAUGAAGAAGGAAAUGAACCACAUAGCAGCGAUAUGGACGAAAAUUCUUCCUUUUUAGACGACAAUGAAGAAUCUCAAUUCACGUUAGAUAAGGAUGUUGACUAUGACUAUUAUUUGUCCGAUGAUUAUGAUGCUGACGACUCUGUGUCGCUGUAGCCGGGUUACAAAUUAUCGCUAGUAUUGUCAAAAUAUAAAUUUAUAAAAUGUCACAAAGCAAAGAUUCCGGUAAAAGUUCGCAAGGCUUAAAAACUACAGAUGACACCCAAGAAGACAAAAAGCAAGAAACCGACGAUGCUCAUAUAACGGUGUAUGCCAAGAAAAAGCCACAGCUGAACCAACCAGGAAAUUAUGUAAAAAUUAAUUGCGGUUCAUGCACGAAACUGAUACAUUUCGACGAAGAAUCUUCUAUAUCUUCAUGUGAUUCGGAUGUAGAUUACACUCUGCUAGAUUGUACCGAUUCUCAAAACGAAAUGAGUCAGCAAUCAACAUUGGCUUCUGGGGAGGGCGCAACGAAAAAAGACGACAGUCACACGGCAAGUUCCAGCAAGGAUAAACCAAAGUUCAACAUCCGGGAUUGAGUAACGAAGUAAAACGAAAUGUUGUAACGUAUCAUGACAAUAAAUGUUACAAAUAUUUUA